AGUUUGGGACCCUGCUGCAGUGUGACGUUAGAUGUGCUUCUUCAAAACCUACAGUAGAGUGGCAGGACAGUGCUGGAAACAAACUUCCUGCUGAGGAGCCACAGGUCUCAGAAAGAGGAGGCAGCUUCUACAUCACCCUCCAAACUACUGUGAAGAAGACCGAAACAAACCUACGAUCAAUAGUUAACAUCACUGUGCCAGACUGUAGAAAGAAGUGGAUAAAGACACCACGACGUCACCUGCUGGUUUGUGGACUAACGUUUUGGCUCAAAUUUGGCAUAUUGGCCGUCGCCAUCUUGGUUGUUUAGAGGGUUGUUUGGGGAGGCGAUGGGGCAGUGGACAAGACGCAUGCCUGUGGUGUGAGAGACACAGGUCCGAUUCUCCACUGUGACAUCCACCACUGUGUCCCUGAACAAGACACACAACCCCUCGUCGCUCCAGAGGCGUGCGACCUCUGACAUAUAUAACAAACUAACAAAUGGAAGUCACUUUGGAUAAAAGCAUCAGCUAAAUGUUUACAUGUUAGAAACAGAAGUGAUCAUAUUUUCACUCAUCAGAAAAGUGUUUACUGAGGUAAUAAAUCAAGUUGGGUCAUUUUCAUAUAGAGUUCUAUACAGUCAGACUUCUUCAUGCAGUAACUGGAGUGCUGAUCUAGUAUUCAGCUUUAAGGAGGGUUCCCUCUUGCCUCUUUCACACUGUUGUUAAAGACAUGAUAGCACCUAAAUAAAAGGAGGAAGCUACAUACAUAUCCCAACAUAACAGAGCUUUAAAAAGAGCGACCUGAUAAAAGUAUUAGAAUUUGAUCAAAUCCAAAUAUUUAUAUCCAACAGGUCAGGGGCUAAAACCAAAAAGAACAGAUACCCUAAAUAAUCAGGUGAUUUGUUAAAUCACCCAGAUCUGGUUCUCAGAUUAAAAUCUGUAACAUGGGCUAAAUGCAGUAAUGUAAUUUGUACCUCAACCAUGUAGUGCCUUCAAACUUCUACAAAAGCUUGAGCUGUAGUAUAAGAUAAACCUCUAUUAAUCCUUUGUAGAGGAAAUUCAGGUUAAUGUUUGAUACUGUUUUCUUUUGGUUAAAAGUUCUACUAGUCUGAAUAAGUUGGUAAUAAUUGAACCCAUCUAUCCCUAUGAGCCCAAAACACAAAGCCUGAAACUUUUUCAGACGCUGCAGGAGGUUUUUUUCUGCAGCUGUUUGUUUGAAUGUUUGUGUAACAGGAAAAAUAAUCAAUGAAUAUUCCUCAUUUAGUUUUUUGGUUUCGUCCCCGGUGUGAAACGAUCUGUGGGCAGCUAAACGUGGGAGGGGACUGAACUUUUGUUUGUUAUUGGAGUUUACUUGUUUUAGAAAGGUAUGUAGACUAGCGGACUGGCCCCCAGGAGCACCGGGAGAUUUCCUGGUGGCCGUUUUGGCUUCCCGUUAAUUGUCUACUUGACCACCAAUACAGAAAACGUUUUUACUCCACGCAUCAGGCCCGUCUCGAGGCCUUUUCAGACGGGGAGCGACUCUCUGCCUGCGUACUCUCUUGGAUCCGCUGGGUCUCUCUAAGCUCCUCAUGUGAACAGCGCUCUAUCUUCUGUGCGCUACUGAAUCGCUGCUGGUUUUAUUUUUAGAAAAAAAGGUACAUUGCCUAGAAAUUAUUGAAGGAUGGACGUGUUUAUUUCUGUUCUGUUUGCGUUGUUGCGUUGGACACCAGAGAGCGAGUCUUCAGUUUUUUGUCGGCUGAAGGAGCUUUUUGGACUUUUGUAUUACUGACUCUGAUCGUUGAAGCUUAUGUUCAGUGAACAUGUGAAGUGUUUAAUGCUUUUGAUAUGACUGAUGCUUGAAAAAUAAAAUAAUUUAACAUUA